rnacentral:rRNA from 1 species
UCUCCAACCUUUGGGGGCAUGUGCACGCUCUGUUCACAAUCCACUCACACCCUGAUGCACCCCUCUGUAGUUCUGUGGCUUGGGGGCCCUGCCCUCCCGCUGUGGUCCUACGUCUUUAUACACACACACACACUGUAAUGAAGUCUAAUGGAAUGUAUGCCGCGCUCUAACGCGACAAAAUACAACUUUCAGCAACGGAUCUCUUGGCUCUCGCAUCGAUGAAGAACGCAGCGAAAUGCGAUAAGUAAUGUGAAUUGCAGAAUUCAGUGAAUCAUCGAAUCUUUGAACGCACCUUGCGCCCUUUGGCCAUUCCGAAGGGCAUGCCUGUUUGAGUAUCGUGAACACCUCAACUCCUCAUGGCUUGCCAUGAUGAGCUUGGACUUUUGGGGGUCUUGCUGGCCUGUGUGGGUUGGCUCCUCUCAAAUGAAUCAGCUCGCCAGUGUUUGGUGGCACCAUGGGUGUGAUAAGCCGUCUAACGCUUGUGGUCUUUCACCAAAUAACCUUCCAGCGAUGGGGGUUCGGCUGGGGCUUCAUUGACGUCUCUCCUAAAGCGAGGACAUCUCUCCGAACCGUUGAUCUCAAAUCAGGUAGGACUACCCGCUGAACUUAAGCAUAUCAAUAAGCGGAGGAAAAGAAACUAACAAGGAUUCCCCUAGUAACUGCGAGUGAAGCGGGAAGAGCUCAAAUUUAAAAUCUGGCGUGCCUCCGGCCGUCCGAGUUGUAGUCUGGAGAAGCGUUUUCCGUGUUGGACCGUGUAUAGUCUCUUGGAACAAGGCGUCAUA